rnacentral:rRNA from 1 species
UACAGAGGUCUCGAGCGUUAGGCGGAAUCACUGGGCUUAAAGCGUGUGUAGGUGGAUGCCUAAGUACCUUGUGAAAUCCCACAGCUUAACUGUGGAACUGCUUGGUAUACUGGGUGUCUUGAGUCACUCAGGGGCGAGCGGAACAAAUGGUGGAGCGGUGAAAUGCGUAGAUAUCAUUUGGAACGCCAAUGGUGAAAACAGCUCGCUGGGGGUGUACUGACACUGAGACACGAAAGCGUGGGGAGCAAACAGG